GACGAACGCUGGCGGCGUGCUUAACACAUGCAAGUCGAACGGGAACCUUUAUUUCGGUAAAGGUGAGAGUGGCAAACGGGUGAGUAACACGUAGGCAACCUGCCGACAGGAUGGGGACAACAUUCCGAAAGGAAUGCUAAUACCGAAUGGAGUCCGGGGAUGGCAUCAUCCACGGAUAAAAGAUGGCCUCUGAAUAUGCUAUCGCCUGUCGAUGGGCCUGCGUCUGAUUAGCCAGUUGGCGGGGUAACGGCCCACCAAAGCGACGAUCAGUAGCCGGUCUGAGAGGAUGAACGGCCACAUUGGGACUGAGACACGGCCCAGACUCCUACGGGAGGCAGCAGUGGGGAAUCUUCCACAAUGGGCGAAAGCCUGAUGGAGCAACGCCGCGUGAGUGAAGAAGGUCUUCGGAUCGUAAAGCUCUGUUGCACGGGACGAAAACCGAGCUUGAGAAUAUUGAGUUUGGGUGACGGUACCGAGCGAGGAAGCCACGGCU
rnacentral:rRNA from 1 species